AUGGGAAUUUGAUGGUGCAACUUGCUAAUGAGCAGAAGCUGUUGAGGCUUGUUAAACAAUAAAGCUUCAGACUUCCCAAUUUACUGAAGAUAAUCUCGCUUUGGGAAUGGGAUUCAUCUCCCUCACUUGACACAAUUUCUUCCACCAUUUUGCUUUCUCUUACACUCAUUUUGGUGAGAUUGACCAUACUUUUGGCAGUAGAAGAUGAUAUUAAGUUCACCAAUCCUGCACAUCGCCACACAUCCAGAGUCAUGAGAUUCUGGAAAGAAGCCGAGGAUGGU
rnacentral:misc_RNA from 1 species